AUGGUUCACAGGAGCUCCACUUCCUCAAUGAAAACAUCUGCCUCACCUCAGUCAACUGCUUGUUCCACAGCGCCUCCUUCUGUCCCUCUCCCUGGAGGUGCUGAUCAGGACUUGACACAGACCACAGCAAAACUCCUUACUGCAGAUCUUACCUGCAGCUCUGAUUCAUCUGCAGCUGCUGUGACUGCUACAAACCCCCCUAUAAAAAAUGCAACAAAGGAAUUAAGUGAUAAUUCAACAGGAGUCUUGCGCUCGAAACAGAUGCUAACCCCAGUUUGGGGUGAAGCUAAUAACCGAACAUCUGGACGAAAGAGAACUCCUAAGACUUGUGACUGCUGUGGUCCCAACCGUGCUGGACACAAUGUCAAAGCUUCAGGCAGAGGGAGAGGGAGGGGCACCGAUAAGGACCUGGGGGCCACGGCUAAAAGAAAAGUGAAGCAGUCGGUGAACAUUAAAGUAAAUGAAGAAGAAGAGGAGGAAAAGGUGCAGAGUCCCGUAGCAGUGUCUGAGUCUCCGUCACAAAUCCAUGUUGCCACAGCUUCUGCCCCAGCUUCCACGGACAUUGCACAGAAUGGACCAUUAAGGAACUCUGACGCCACGGAGGAGAGAUCUGUGCAGAAAACGGAGGAUGUGGUGAAAGCAUGCACGGGUCACGCUGCAGGGCAAGGAAACGGGAAUGGAAGGGAUGCUCACACAAACUUGUUAGGGACAGCAUGCAGGGGAACGCUGGUAGUUACGGGUAGAGAGGGAGGAAUUGUUAAAGCCCUGAUUGCAUCAAAUAUAAAAGAUGAUGUUGAAAUUAAAAGUGGUAAUAUCAUCAAUGUAACAACAGGUGCCUUAGCUCAGUCAGCAUUAGAAGGAAGCCAAAAUUCUCAGAUAUCUCAUGCAGGCCAAAACAAGCCCAGUUCAGUUGGAAGUCCUCUUGGAAAUGGAGAGACAGUAAGCCUGACAGACACAGAUGAAGAGAUGGAGGAUAGUGUUGUGAGUGAAGCUGCAAAUGGGUUGGUAUCCUCUUCGGCGCGACUCGGAGUUUCCUCCAGCCAAGACUCUGAGAUGCAAGUGGACCAAAUCUCAGAUCAAACAGACCAAGUUUUUCUCUCGUUGAUGUCAUCCAACGGAAAAGUUACCACACCAACAGAAUGCGACCAAAAAUCCUUCCCCAUGGAGGUAGAAACAUGUCACCCAGCCACCCACGAUUCUCCCUCCAGACACGGGUCCUAUUGCAGUCAACAGCAAAGAGCACUUCUGGGCAUUGAGAGACCACAGACUGUACUGCCAGUCUGGCACUUGGGAAAAAAAUGGGAUGGAAGAAACAGCGGUUCAAAACAAGGGAGACGACAAAAAGCUGGAUGCAGAGACGCAGAAGAAGGAACGCUUGGAGAGACUUAUAGAUGCAAUCCAAGGUAG
rnacentral:lncRNA from 1 species